UCUCCUGUAGCUCAGUGGUAGAGCGUCCGACCGGUGUGCGGAAGGUCAUAGGUACAACUCCUGUUGGGGGAA